GAGUUGGAUGCUGGUCGAUUGAGGGUGGCGGGGAGGCUUUCACAGCAAGUCGAGCGGGGGAAGGUAGCUUGGUACUUAACCUAGCGCGGGCGGGUGAGUAAUGCUUAGGAAUCUGCCUAUUAGUGGGGGCACAUUCCGAAAGGAAUGCUAAUACCGCAUCGUCCUACGGGAGAAAGCAGGGGAUCUUCGGACCUUGCGCUAAUAGAUGAGCCUAAGUCGGAUUAGCUAGUUGGUGGGGUAAAGGCCUACCAAGGCGACGAUCUGUAGCGGGUCUGAGAGGAUGAUCCGCCACACUGGGACUGAGACACGGCCCAGACUCCUACGGGAGGCAGCAGUGGGGAAUAUUGGCAAUGGGCGGAAGCCUGAUCCAGCCCUGCCGCGUGUGUGAAGAAGGCCUUUUGGUUAAAAGCCUUUAAGCGAGGAGGAGGCACUCUAGUUAAUACCUAGAGAUAGUGGACGUUACUACAGAGGGGGUUCUUAAAAGGGGUCAUUAAA
rnacentral:rRNA from 1 species